GACGAACCGUGCAAACGUUGUUCGGAAUCACUGGGCUUAAAGGGCGCGUAGGCGGUCGGCCAAGUCCGGGGUGAAAUCUUUCGGCUUAACCGGAAAAGUGCCUUGGAUACUGGCCGGCUGGAGGGAGGUAGGGGCAGGUGGAACUUCCAGUGGAGCGGUGAAAUGCGUUGAUAUUGGAAGGAACGCCGGUGGCGAAAGCGACCUGCUGGACCUCUUCUGACGCUGAGGCGCGAAAGCUAGGGGAGCAAACGGG
rnacentral:rRNA from 1 species